AAUCUGACCUGGGAAUGGCAGUAGUGGAAGGCCACUUUACAUAAGUGGGAGUUGUUUUCGACGCAAGUGAAAUACCACUACUUUUAAUGUUAUUUUACUUAUUCUAUGGAGCACUGCCCCUGUUUUUUUCCUUAAGACACCUUUUGACAGGUCGAUCUGGGUGGAAGACAUAGUCAGGUGGGGAGUUUGGUUGGGGCAGCCCAUCUGUUAAAAGAUAACACAGGUGUCCUGAGAUGAACUCAACGAGAACAAAAAUCUUGUAAGGAACAAAAGGGUAAAAGCUCAUUUGAUUUUGAUUUUCAGUACAAAUACAAACAGUGAAAGCUUGGCCUAUCGAUCCUUUAGACUUCCAGAAUUUGAAGUUAGAGGUGUCAUAAAAGUUAC
rfam:Picea glauca, whole genome shotgun sequence.